GGGGAAUUUUGGACAAUGGGGGCAACCCUGAUCCAGCCAUGCCGCGUGAGUGAAGAAGGCCUUCGGGUUGUAAAGCUCUUUCAGACGGAAAGAAAUCUCUCAGGAUAAUACCUUGGGAGGAUGACGGUACCGUAAGAAUAAGCACCGGCUAACUACGUGCCAGCAGCCGCGGUAAUACGUAGGGUGCAAGCGUUAAUCGGAAUUACUGGGCGUAAAGCGUGCGCAGGCGGUUAUAUAAGACAGAUGUGAAAUCCCCGGGCUCAACCUGGGAACUGCAUUUGUGACUGUAUAGCUAGAGUACGGUAGAGGGGGAUGGAAUUCCGCGUGUAGCAGUGAAAUGCGUAGAUAUGCGGAGGAACACCGAUGGCGAAGGCAGUCCCCUGGGCCUGUACUGACGCUCAUGCACGAAAGCGUGGGGAGCAAACA
rnacentral:rRNA from 1 species